UACGGAGGGUGCAAGCGUUAUCCGGAUUCACUGGGUUUAAAGGGUGCGUAGGCGGAUAUGUAAGUCAGCGGUGAAACUCACAGGCUCAACCUGUGCCGUGCCGUUGAAACUGUGUAUCUGGAAUGCGGAUGCUGUGGGAGGAAUGUGUAGUGUAGCGGUGAAAUGCAUAGAUAUUACACAGAACACCGAUUGCGAAGGCAUCUCACAAAGCCGUUAUUGACGCUGAGGCACGAAAGUGUGGGGAUCAAA
rnacentral:rRNA from 1 species